GAUGAACGCUGGCGGCGUGCCUAAUACAUGCAAGUCGAGCGAACAGACGAGGAGCUUGCUCCUCUGACGUUAGCGGCGGACGGGUGAGUAACACGUGGAUAACCUACCUAUAAGACUGGGAUAACUUCGGGAAACCGGAGCUAAUACCGGAUCAUAUAUUGAACCGCAUGGUUCAAUAGUGAAAGACGGUUUUGCUGUCACUUAUAGAUGGAUCCGCGCCGCAUUAGCUAGUUGGUAAGGUAACGGCUUACCAAGGCAACGAUGCGUAGCCGACCUGAGAGGGUGAUAGGCCACACUGGAACUGAGACACGGUCCAGACUCCUACGGGAGGCAGCAGUAGGGAAUCUUCCGCAAUGGGCGAAAGCCUGAAGGAGCAACGCAGCGUGAGUGAUGAAGGUCUUCGGAUCGUAAAACUCUGUUAUUAGGGAAGAACAAAUGUGUAAGUAACUAUGCACGUCUUGACGGUACCUAAUCAGAAAGCCACGGCUAACUACGUG
rnacentral:rRNA from 1 species